GGGGUCGUAGCGCAGUGGUAGCGCGUCCGCUUUGCAUGCGGAAGGUCUAGGGUUCGAUCCCCUACCUCUCCA
rnacentral:tRNA from 1 species